AAAACCAACAAGACGUCAGUGACGGGGAACGUAACUUCUUAGAAAAUCUGACAACGACUAGGAAUUCCUCAACUACACGAGUGUUGACCCAAAGAGGGUUAUAGGUGAAAGUGUUCAUUAUUUAAAAAAAGAAAAAGGCUUUUUUGAGAAGCACUGGCCAAGGCAACUGGCGAUGUUUGAGCCGGAAUCCAUGGAUGGAAUAGCCAUAGUUGUCCGCAACAUCUGCCGUUCCGGCAACAUUUUUAUUUAACAACAUUCGCCACUUCACGGACAACUGUCCAACCGCUGCAACUCGCACCACGGCACAGUCCCCAAAACACGGGCGAACGGCCAAGAAUUAGGAGACGCCUUUUGGUCAGGUGUAACGCCGCCACAGAACACGCCCCGAUCGAGACCAGAUGCGAAGUUUCCAAACCACUUGGGAAGCGGAUCUUCGUAAUCUGCACCAAGAUUGACCACACCCCUUAUUUGGCUUAAUGCCGCCGUCUACGUCAUCAUUGGGCCCAACGAUAACUACUGAUACAGGAGAACGAUUUGGUAAAGCUGCGUGAGUAAAGAGAGAAAAAGUAUAAAAAGGUUAAAAUGUAUAUAAAAAGGUUAAAAUGCAACAAACCGAAUUUAAAACCAUAUAUGUUGGAAUU